CCCGGAUGUUGCUGUUGUCGGCCGUUGUCGGCGGUUGUCCAGACCGUUAGCGGGCGCUCCAGACGCUCUUCAGAUCCACGGAGUGCGGACGAGAUCGCGGAGCGGCGCUGCAGCGGCGGACUGAGGAGGCUGCCCGGGAAGGAGCCAGGGCCGAGGGCAGGUGCCGGAAAGCCUUUCAGUUGUUUAUACAACUUACUGUCCUGCUCAGUAUACCGUGUAUGAGCCAGUGAUUCGACUUAAAAGUCAGAUGAAAACAGCUCUCAAAGACCCUUCAGCUCAAAAGAAGUUCAGAGCAUCUUAUUAGAACCUCAUCAUCUCAAGAAUCUCCAGCCUACUGAAUGUAAAACUAUUCAAGGCAUUCUGCAUGAGAUUGGUGGAACUCCUAUGUUUGUUUUUCUCUUUGCUAGGGUUGUUGGACUCAAUAGCUGUGAAGAAACUCAAGUGUUAGUGCUGUGAGUUAUACUCUCAUUAAUUAAGUACAACCAACAGAGAGUACAGGAUUUAGAAAACUGUCAUGGACUUUCCAUGAUUCAUCAGGUGUUAAUCAAAUGAAAAUGCAUCAUUGGCUAUCACAUUUUGAAGACCCUUGUUGAAGUUUGCUGCGGUGAAGAUAUUACUCAUAUCAGUGAGAAUGGAGAGUUUAAGUUGGAUAUAGAGUCCACUGCUAUAAUCCAAGAUGUGAAACUGUUAGAGGAGCUGUUGCUUGACUGGAAGAUAUGGAAUAAAGCAGAGGCAUAUCAUACGUACUUUUCCCCCUUUUUCUUAUUGUGGUAAAAUACACAUAAGAUAAAAUUUACUAUCGUAACCAUUUUUAAGUGGCAUCAAGUACAUUCACAAUGUUGUGCAGCCCUUACCACCAUCCAUCUCCAUAACAAUUUUCAGCUUGUAAAACCAAACCUCUAUACUCAUUAAACAACAACUCCUCAUUCCUCCCUUUUCACAGCCAUUGCCAACCACCAUUCUCUCUCUGACUGUAUGAUUUUGACUACUCUAAGUUCCUC